rnacentral:rRNA from 1 species
CUAACACAUGCAAGUCGAGCGGCAGCACGGGUACUUGUACCUGGUGGCGAGCGGCGGACGGGUGAGUAAUGCCUAGGAAUCUGCCUAGUAGUGGGGGAUAACGUCCGGAAACGGGCGCUAAUACCGCAUACGUCCUACGGGAGAAAGUGGGGGAUCUUCGGACCUCACGCUAUUAGAUGAGCCUAGGUCGGAUUAGCUAGUUGGUGAGGUAAUGGCUCACCAAGGCGACGAUCCGUAACUGGUCUGAGAGGAUGAUCAGUCACACUGGAACUGAGACACGGUCCAGACUCCUACGGGAGGCAGCAGUGGGGAAUAUUGGACAAUGGGCGAAAGCCUGAUCCAGCCAUGCC